UACGGAGGGGGCUAGCGUUGUUCGGAAUUACUGGGCGUAAAGCGCGCGUAGGCGGAUCUGCAAGUCGGGGGUGAAAUCCCGAGGCUCAACCUCAGAACUGCCUUCGAUACUGCGGGUCUCGAGUCCGGGAGAGGUGAGUGGAAUUCCUAGUGUAGAGGUGAAAUUCGUAGAUAUUAGGAAGAACACCAGUGGCGAAGGCGGCUCACUGGCCCGGUACUGACGCUGAGGCGCGAAAGCGUGGGGAGCAAACAGG
rnacentral:rRNA from 1 species